GCGCGGGUGGCGAAACUGGUACACGCACUGCCUUGAGGUGGCAGCGGGAGCAAUCCCUUGGAGGUUCAAGUCCUCUCCCGCGCA
rnacentral:tRNA from 1 species